UAGGGAAUCUUCGGCAAUGGACGAAAGUCUGACCGAGCAACGCCGCGUGAGUGAAGAAGGUUUUCGGAUCGUAAAACUCUGUUGUUAGAGAAGAACAAGGACGUUAGUAACUGAACGUCCCCUGACGGUAUCUAACCAGAAAGCCACGGCUAACUACGUGCCAGCAGCCGCGGUAAUACGUAGGUGGCAAGCGUUGUCCGGAUUUAUUGGGCGUAAAGCGAGCGCAGGCGGUCUGUCAAGUCUGAUGUGAAAGCCCCCGGCUCAACCGGGGAGGGUCAUUGGAAACUGGGAGACUUGAGUGCAGAAGAGGAGAGUGGAAUUCCAUGUGUAGCGAUGAAAUGCGUAGAUAUAUGGAGGAACACCAGUGGCGAAGGCGGCUCUCUGGUCUGUAACUGACGCUGAGGCUCGAAAGCGUGGGGAACAAACAGG
rnacentral:rRNA from 1 species